GGGCACAUAGCUCAGCUGGUUAGAGCGCNNAUAAUGACGAGGUCCGAGGUUCGACUCCUCGUGUGCCCACCA
rnacentral:tRNA from 1 species